GAAAUGCGAUAAGUAAUGUGAAUUGCAGAAUUCCGUGAAUCAUUAAAUCUUUGAACGCACAUUGCGCCCUCUGGUUAUUCCUAAGGGCAUGCCUGUUCGAGAAUCAGUUUAACCAUCAAACCUAUUGUUGUAACAAACAGUAAGCUUGGAUUUGGGACUUCUCGAUAGAGAGACCCUAAUAACAUUUGUUGCCCUACUCUAGUAAGACUAUGUGAAAAGGCAUGACCAUUGAACGCAAGUUCUUUAACAAUGCUGUAGUAAUAUUAUUUUUCUAAAGAUUGAGUGCACCGAAAUUUUCACGAAGAAGUAAAAUUCUUUAAGACUUGAUCUCGAAUCAGACAAGACUACCCGCUGAACUUAA
rnacentral:misc_RNA from 1 species